GCUGGUGUACCAGUUGUUCCGCCAGGAGCACCGCUGGGUAGCUAUGUACGGAAGGGAUAAGCGCUGAAAGCAUCUAAGCGUGAAGCCCCCCUCAAGAUGAGAUUUCCCAGUAUGUAAGACCCCUUGAAGACGACGAGGUAGAUAGGUUGGGGGUGGAAGUGCAGUAAUGCAUGGAGCUGACCAAUACUAAUCGGUCGAGGGCUUAUCCUAAA
rnacentral:rRNA from 1 species